rnacentral:sRNA from 1 species
UGUUUUUUUUGUCUGUAGUCAGUUGAUCAAAACACUAUCAAGACCUAUUACCCUAAAUAUGGUUUGGCGAUUGAAGUCGAUAGUGAAGGGAAGCCUGUCGGCAGUCUACAUGAUCCUACAGGUUCUGUCUUCCAUUCUGUAACUGAAGCAGUCGAGAAUGAAGGGCUGCUGUAUGUUGGAUCUAUCUAUAACAGAUACACGGGAAGAAUUGUUUUGCCUCAGGGAGACAACAGAAUGGUUACCAUUGACAGCGUUCUUCAGGUUCUAAGAAGCAGGUGUCAGAUUCCAGAAGAUCGUCUGGUGCCGGCUAGGAUUUUACUUCUGCAAUAUAUCAAUCAGUCAGCGGCCAAUACGACCCAAGCCAAUCCAAGCUCAUUGUAGAUCUAGGACUUCCAGCACUCCUUGUUGGUCCAUCACUGUGACUUGAAGUAGUCAGUGUUGGCGAUCUUCAGGAUUUCAUUAAGGGAUGCACUGUUAUUUGUAUGUCAUCCACCAGCGUUAUAAACUUUGACCCUGGCACUCUUCUAUUCGACUUUUUAUUUUAUUAAUCACUUUCCCAUUCUUGAAAAUAUAUUUUGUUUUUCAUUGUAAAUAGCAGAUCUAAUCUGUUUACAUUUGUACAUGUUCUUUCUAUCAACAUACAUCUAUAAUAUCUACCGCCAUGCUAAAAUAUAAACACAACUUUUAGAUGAGUUUUGUUUGAAACUUUUGUAUUUCCUGUGUGUCUGACAUGAAAAUGAUCUCCCUUAAACGUUGACCAACACUGACUCUCACUUACCUAUAUGUAUUUGAACACUUUUAAUAUUUGUACUGUUUUUUUUAAAUAAUCUGAUACGUGAAUACAGUUUGAAGCCUAACACUU